rnacentral:lncRNA from 10 species
GUUUGGGUGAAGACGGAGGCGGGUUCUGGACAGACCUACGCUGUCGGGGAGUGUUUACUUCGCCUCCACUUCUGUUCCUCCCCGCCCUGGUGCUGCUCCAGGUCACAUACUCUUCCUGAGCCGGCUUCAGCCUCUCCGCGCAGAAGUCUCCCGGAGCCAUGGCCUAGUAUUCUUAUGUGAAGUCUACCAAGCUUGUGCUCAAGGGAACCGAGUAAGAAGAAAAAGAGCAAAGAUAAGAAGAGAAAAAGAGAAGAUGAAGAAACCCAGCUUGAUAUGUUGGAAUCUGGUGAACAGUAACAAACUUUGGUGAAAUUUCAGGAACCAUAGCCAUUGAAGUGGAUGAGGGAACCUAUAUACAUGCACUCAACAAUGGUCUUUUUACCCUGGGAGCUCCACACAAAGAAGAAUCGCCCUGAAACCUGGCUAUGGAAAAUAUCUUAGUAUAAAUUCAGAUGAACUUGUUGUUGGCGUUCAGAUGCAAUUGGACCAAGAGAACAAUGGGAACCAGUCUUUCAAAAUGAUGGCCAUCCAGUAAUGAGAAUGAACAGUCUCCAACUAAAGGCAACAAUAUAGAUGAAUCUCGGAAACAUGAUAUUGACCAGACAGAAAAGAUUCCACUUACAUAAACUUCAAAAGAAGAUAAAACUGAUCUAUGACAUUAAUAGUCAGAAUAUUCAUUAUCCUUGAGGGAACUAAACUGGGAAGCCACAUGAUAGGGCAUCUGGAAGCUAGUAAUGUCCUCUUUCUUGAUCUGUUACAUUGGUGUGUUUAUUUCAUUAGAUUUAUUGAGCUAUACAUUUACCACCGUGUACUUGUC